CACAAAAGAAUUCUCGAGACAGCAACAGGCUUCAGCUGGCUUCAGCCCUUCCCAGAGACUGGGGACACCCAGCUUUGUGACAAUGAGCAUAUUAUACAGACCUGUAAUGGGGGUGACAUUAGCAUUGUGAUUGAACUGGGCAACUGCUAUGUUUUGGUACAGAAGGCAAAGAAAGAUAUCUGUCUCCUUCCCAGGAAGGAAGAAUUGUGUCCAGGGCAGUACAGAGAUCAGUCCCAGGCUACUCCUCGUGGUGGUGCUUGGGCAGAAAUGCCAACGCUGCUCCGCUGUCCAGCACUGCGGCUCUCAGCGUACUGUAAGACCUUCAUGCACCAAAAUGUGCAGGCCGAGGAAGACUGGAAAAGGAAAUGGGACCUCGCUUCCUAGUCUCCAUCAUCUCUUGGAGAAGAAGCAACAAACUGGGUUUUUGGUUAUACCUCUUAUCCUAGUCCUCCAGCAUGAGUGCCUACAUGCACCUGAAGGCAUUUCUGACAGUGAAUCCCAGGGCAGCUCAUCGUUCUGUCAGUAAUGCAACAAACAGUAAGAAAAUCUUAUUAUGCUAGUGGUUUGCUAGUGCACUCUGAGAGACACAGCCUUUCCCCUCCAAGCUCUUCAGAUCCGAGCACACAGCCAUGUGUUUUAUUGGGGCAGAACAGGAAGGAGCCGGUGGGGUACCAGCAGGUCAGUAACACUGCAACAGUACAGGACCUGGGGCUUGAGGGCUUAAACUGCAGAUUCUUCCAUCAGAGCUCACUGUUGCCACUGAUUGUCACGGGAAAGCUUCUGGGUUGCUUCUUCUGUAUUUGCUUUCGUUUUCCUUUAUCUUAAUGUUUUUAUACUAGGUACCACCUUUGCCUGCCCUGCCCUUCCCGGGAGUCCUCCGUGUUCCGGAAGCCGGGACUGAUGGACAUGGGCGAUCAAGCAGUGCCUCUCACAGAAAGGUCUGUGAGCGAAGCGGCAGUUCCAAUGAAAACAUGCAUUUCUGCAUUAAUCCACUUAGAAAUCUGAACUACUGGUCUGAGGAGCUUUGCUGGAUAUUUCAUUGGAACAGUAUUAUCAGCACGGAGCAGGAAAGUAAAGCAGAAAGAAGCUGCAAAUGCAGUCGUGGCAAGCAUGUUCUAUUCUCCACUUAAAUACAUUCAGGAAGGGUUUUGGUUCAGGCCUGAGUGAAAACAAAGAAACAUUGGUGGAUUUAUUCUGUUUGUUGGUAUGUUUUGCAAAUAUAAAUGCCCCAAUACUUGACUUCCUUACCUACUUCAAACAGAACCAGUUUAUGUGACAGAACACAACUGGGUGAGGCAAAAGACAUCACUGCAUGAAGGAGUCCCAAAUCGGUGUCAUUUUCAUUGGGCAGUGAGUGAUUCCAGCCUUGAAUAUCAAGGCUUUGUUUAAGUUAGACACCACUGGAAGAGUAGCUGGAUUGCUGCAACCUUUUGCUACUGUUUAAAAUGCAAUCCCUGUACAUCUUUCUCUCUGAUGUCCUCUACUUGCAGCUGCAAUAUCUCCUUGUUGGCCCUGCCUCUGCUAUUCAGCUGACUCCGUAGUAAGUGAAAUCAGCUUUCAGAGACUUGAAACUGAAGUUUUGAUUCGUAUGAGCAAAGUGUGAAUGGACAUGGGUGUGUGCGAGCACCAGAAGAAACAGCAGAACAAAGGUUAAAAGAAUGGCCUGUGUUGAUAAUGAAAAACACAGCAGUAAAGGCAGUAAAAUCGAGAAACACCUUCUGUCAAACCAGGCAAAUCUGCACACUGGAGCACAGACAACUUGUGAGCAGAAGAGCCUCCCAUCUGACAGCUGGACAUGGCACAUCACAAAUGCCAUUUAUUUCCUGUUGGUUCACCUGGAAGCAAACCAUAAAAUAAGGAAGCACAGAAAAUGGGCAAAGAAGUUCCAUAAGGUGCAUGGAGGUAGAAGUAACUGGACUGUGAAGCACAAGGAUGCCACCACAGUCAGUGCUGGGUCCCAUAGCUUUCGUACCUGCAGAAAAGACCCCUCCAAGGCGGCUUGCCACUGGCAGUGAAAAGUAACACAAGAGAUACCAAAAGGGUGGGAUGGUUGGUGCCCAUCUUCCCUUAUGCUGCUUGCAAUGUGGGUCCUGAAAAAACCUGUGGAGCGCACACACUCCUGAGGAGCUGUGACUAUAAGGUUUUGACAGUGUGAACCAAGUUGAAUAUUGAGUUGCUUGACCACAUUCCAGGAUGAAGAGCCCUGCUACACUGGCUCACCGUGAUCUCUUGGGGUGCUCUCAGACCCUCUCUGUGGGCUCUGGGGCUCUGCAGGGCUGGGAUUGGGAGUGUGGGGUGGGAGCUGGAACGUCUCGGAGCUGGAGCCGAGAUGAAGAUCCUGCAGUGAGA